rnacentral:piRNA from 1 species
UCACCCACACAGGAUGGAACUGCUACAC